rnacentral:rRNA from 1 species
CGUUGUUCGGAAUCACUGGGCUUAAAGGGCGCGUAGGCGGUCUACCAUGUCUGUGGUGAAAUCCUCCAGCUCAACUGGAGAACGGCCGUGGAUACUGGGAGCCUCGAGGGAGAUAGGGGCAGGCGGAACUGAUGGUGGAGCGGUGAAAUGCGUUGAUAUCAUCAGGAACUCCGGUGGCGAAGGCGGCCUGCUGGAUCUCAUCUGACGCUGAGGCGCGAAAGCCAGGGGAGCAAACGGG